rnacentral:siRNA from 1 species
UGGAAGGGACGCAUUUAUUAGAUA